CUAAUACAUGCAAGUCGAGCGAACAGAUAAGGAGCUUGCUCCUUUGACGUUAGCGGCGGACGGGUGAGUAACACGUGGAUAACCUACCUAUAAGACUGGGAUAACUUCGGGAAACCGGAGCUAAUACCGGAUAACAUAUUGAACCGCAUGGUUCAAUAGUGAAAGGCGGCUUUGCUGUCACUUAUAGAUGGAUCCGCGCCGUAUUAGCUAGUUGGUAAGGUAACGGCUUACCAAGGCAACGAUACGUAGCCGACCUGAGAGGGUGAUCGGCCACACUGGAACUGAGACACGGUCCAGACUCCUACGGGAGGCAGCAGUAGGGAAUCUUCCGCAAUGGGCGAAAGCCUGACGGAGCAACGCCGCGUGAGUGAUGAAGGUCUUCGGAUCGUAAAACUCUGUUAUCAGGGAAGAACAAAUGUGUAAGUAACUGUGCACAUCUUGACGGUACCUGAUCAGAAAGCCACGGCUAACUACGUGCCAGCAGCCGCGGUAAUACGUAGGUGGCAAGCGUUAUCCGGAAUUAUUGGGCGUAAAGCGCGCGUAGGCGGUUUUUUAAGUCUGAUGUGAAAGCCCACGGCUCAACCGUGGAGGGUCAUUGGAAACUGGAAAACUUGAGUGCAGAAGAGGAAAGUGGAAUUCCAUGUGUAGCGGUGAAAUGCGCAGAGAUAUGGAGGAACACCAGUGGCGAAGGCGACUUUCUGGUCUGUAACUGACGCUGAUGUGCGAAAGCGUGGGGAUCAAACAGGAUUAGAUACCCUGGUAGUCCACGCCGUAAACGAUGAGUGCUAAGUGUUAGGGGGUUUCCGCCCCUUAGUGCUGCAGCUAACGCAUUAAGCACUCCGCCCUGGGGGAGUACGACCGCAAGGUUGAAACUCAAAGGAAUUGACGGGGACCCGCACAAGCGGUGGGAGCAUGUGGUUUAAUUUCGAAGCAACGCGAAGAACCUUACCAAAUCUUG
rnacentral:rRNA from 1 species